GCCGGGUUCAGUGGCGCGCGCCUGUAAUCCAAGCUACUGGGAGGCUGAGGUUGCGGAUUGCUUGAGCUCAGGGCUUCUGGACUGCAGUGGACUAUGUUGAUCGGGUGUCCACACUAAGUUCGGUAUUGAUAUGGUGCUCCUGGGGGAGCUUGGGACCACCAGGUCGUGUAAUGAGGGGUGAACCGGCCCAGGUUGGCGACGGAGCAGGUCAAAUCCCCCGUGCUGAUCAGUAGUGGGAUCACACCUGACAAUAGACACUGCAGUGCAGCCUGAGUGACACAG
rnacentral:SRP_RNA from 8 species